AGACCCGAAACCCGGUGAUCUAGCCAUGGGCAGGUUGAAGGUUGGGUAACACUAACUGGAGGACCGAACCGACUAAUGUUGAAAAAUUAGCGGAUGACCUGUGGCUGGGGGUGAAAGGCCAAUCAAACCGGGAGAUAGCUGGUUCUCCCCGAAAGCUAUUUAGGUAGCGCCUCGUGAAUUCAUCUCCGGGGGUAGAGCACUGUUUCGGCUAGGGGGCCAUCCCGGCUUACCAACCCGAUGCAAACUGCGAAUACCGGAGAAUGUUAUCACGGGAGACACACGGCGGGUGCUAACGUCCGUCGUGAAGAGGGAAACAACCCAGACCGCCAGCUAAGGUCCCAAAGUCAUGGUUAAGUGGGAAACGAUGUGGGAAGGCCCAGACAGCCAGGAUGUUGGCUUAGAAGCAGCCAUCAUUUAAAGAAAGCGUAAUAGCUCACUGGUCGAGUCGGCCUGCGCGGAAGAUGUAACGGGGCUAAACCAUGCACCGAAGCUGCGGCAGCGACGCUGAUGCGUUGUUGGGUAGGGGAGCGUUCUGUAAGCCUGCGAAGGUGGCCUGUGAGGGUUGCUGGAGGUAUCAGAAGUGCGAAUGCUGACAUAAGUAACGAUAAAGCGGGUGAAAAGCCCGCUCGCCGGAAGACCAAGGGUUCCUGUCCAACGUUAAUCGGGGCAGGGUGAGUCGACCCCUAAGGCGAGGCCGAAAGGCGUAGUCGAUGGGAAACGGGUUAAUAUUCCCGUACUUGGUGUUACUGCGAAGGGGGGACGGAGAAGGCUAUGUUGGCCGGGC
rnacentral:rRNA from 1 species